rnacentral:lncRNA from 1 species
GACCGAACGAGGUGAACGCUCUGGCGGCGGAGGGACUGGCGGCGGGGUAUGCCACGUGCAUGCCAGCGGGCCGGCGGCUGCCGGCGUCGUACAUUAACUAUUACGUGGCGAACGGCGGCGUCGUGGUCCCCCAGUUUGGCGGAGAGCAGGUGGGUGAGCAACGGAUUAACGGAUUAACGGAAAGUGGUUGAUGAUGAGGCAGCAGGUUAAUAGUGGGACAGGCAUUAUUCAUCUGUGCGGCAGAACGGCACAUAUCUGUACGGCGUACGUAUGUACGACCUAGCAAUUAUGGAAAAUUUGAAGAGCGGGGUUUUAGCUAUGACGUUGCGCGAUGCCUCAUCAUGCACGGCACGCCAGUAGUACUGCCCGUGGCUCAGAUCAUGAACACACACGCACCAUGGAGUGAUUAUCGCGUGUCGUACAACCGUACAAAAGUGAAGUACGUCACCUGACAGGGCCGCAGCGACGAGGAGGCGCUGGCUGCUGUGGCUGCCGCGUACCCCGGGCGGCGGGUUGUUGGAGUUUACAGUCGGGAGCUGCUUCUGGGCGGCGGGAACAUCCACUGCCUCACACAGAAUCUGCCUGCUGCUGCUGCUGCUGCGGCCGCUUCUGCUGCUGUUGGGCCGUCAAAUCAAGUCAUGAAGGGUUCAUAACGAUGAUGCCGAUGAGGGGGAGGAGGAGGGGGAGGGGAAGGAGGAGGGGAAAGGACAGUGAUGAGGAUGGCAGGCGUGUAUAUCCGUGUGUAUAUCCGUGUGUAUAUCCGUGUGCGGUAUGCAGCUCCGAUCGUAUAUUGUACAUCGCAUAUCCGCGCAGCCGUCAUGUCCUUCAUCCUGGGUGAUGCACGGCCAAUGGCGGCCACUGUUCUGAUACAUCAGCAGACAUUGUGCACUCGUUUGAUCUAGAAACACAAAUAAUACCGAUAGGUAUUUAGGUAUUUAGGGUUUAGCUAGGCAAUACAUACGAACACAUGUUGACGACGUGUGCUUAGACAUUAUUGUAUGUUGUUACAGGGUGGUAUAGCUUCACCAGCGGCCCCCUUUCCCGAGCUCUCCCCUGCGAGAGGGGCACCCUAAUCCAUUCACCCCAUCCAACUUCAGAAUGUAUUCGUUGGGUUCAGCAACUCACCAUCAGCAUCCUUAACCAAAUCUAGCGGAUCAACGGCGCCACAACUUAGUUCCUGGUCAGCUCGCAAGUUGAUAUAAUCACGUCCUACACCGUCCACAAGAUGGGGGGCCACCUCCCAAUUCAACACCCCUCACACACCCGAGGGGUCGGCAGGCGGAUUUGAACCCAGACAUUAUUGUAUGUUGCAUAUCCGCUACAGGUUCAGAUCGCUCGAGCUGCUGUUGCAUUUCGUCGCGGCGUGAGGUAUGGCACGAGAGACCAUUGCAUUGAAAUACAGCAAGGAUGUAUCUAUCUGUUGUUUGCAAUUCACGGAUGAUUUACGCAUCAGUUAAGUACUAGAGGCACGGUACGUCGUCGUAACGAAACCCGAAGCACGCUACAUAUUAACGUGCCUAUUUUGGCUCUCUCAUCCAGGAUUACCCACCUAUUUUGGCUCUCUCAUCCAGGAUUACCCGCCUAUUCUGGCUCCCCAGCUUGUGCGCGAACUAAUAAGCGACCUCUGCCGACCCCUGGUCUACCUAAUUGCCCGACUACCUAAUUGCCCGACUACAUCGUAUCUGAAAAUAUUUUAGCGUCUAUAGGUCGAAAGAUCGCCUAUGGCCCUUACAUAUUUGACAGCAACCGUCCCUUUCCAAUCAUACGGCGAUUUAUUGAGUAAUGAAACUAAAUAUGCUUCCGUUGUUGAUCAUGUAAUCCUAGAAUUUUCGGCAACUGUUCCUGAGCAUAUAAAAGUUAAAUUAAAC